rnacentral:rRNA from 1 species
CCUACGGGAGGCAGCAGUGGGGAAUAUUGCACAAUGGGGGAAACCCUGAUGCAGCGACGCCGCGUGAGCGAUGAAGUAUUUCGGUAUGUAAAGCUCUAUCAGCAGGGAAGAAAAUGACGGUACCUGACUAAGAAGCCCCGGCUAACUACGUGCCAGCAGCCGCGGUAAUACGUAGGGGGCAAGCGUUAUCCGGAUUUACUGGGUGUAAAGGGAGCGUAGACGGCGGUGCAAGCCAGAUGUGAAAGCCCGGGGCUCAACCCCGGGACUGCAUUUGGAACUGCGUGGCUAGAGUGCAGGAGGGGCAGGCGGAAUUCCUGGUGUAGCGGUGAAAUGCGUAGAUAUCAGGAGGAACACCGGUGGCGAAGGCGGCCUGCUGGACUGCAACUGACGUUGAGGCCCGAAAGCGUGGGGAGCAAACAGGAUUAGAUACCCUAGUAGUC